CAUUUAUUUAAUAUUAAUGUCGAAACAACGUCGUUGGUCAAAGCAUUCCUCUUUCCCGUUUGCCAUUGAGAAUCGGCUGUAAUUUACUCCCGAGGAAUCGACACCAUCAUCAUGUGGUGGAGAAUCCUUUUGUCGAAUCUGAAAUUAAUCUCCGCCGUUGGCUCCUCCUUUGCGGCUGAGUCCACUCACCUUCCUCUCUCGACUCGUGCCUCCUCCAUUUCUGCUUAUUCCUCGCUUUUCGCUCGCCAAUUCGGCUCCGCUGCUGCGGAAACUGCUGUGAAGAAGAAGCGUGUGGAAGAUGUGAUGCAUAUUGCAACUGGCCACGAGAAAGAGGAACUCGAAGCCCAAUUCAUUCUUCUUGUUUGAUGAUGCUCAAAUGGAAGGAAGCUGCUCGGUGUAGACUUUCCCGAGGGUCCUUUUGGCACAAAGGUUACUACUGUCUUGGAUGAUGAAAUCAACAUGGGAUAGUGUUGGAGAUGGACUUAGCACAGGCCCAUUAAGAACUAAGCCCAAAAUCAGGUCCGGCCCGUUAAACAACAAUUGAUGAUUUCGCUAGAAGACAAAACGUACGUCACUAUAAAUAGAAGACGUCAGAUUCAUUGAAAGGACAUUCAGAAAAGUACAGAAAGUACAGAAAAUGAGAGCAUCGCCUCUACAUCACAGAUAAAGUCUCGGACGACCUCGACCACUAGACGAGCUCGGCCCAGACGACCUCAGACCAUAAAAUAGAAAGAUACUUGUUUAGACGAACUAUUUAGACGAGCAUCUUUAGUUCUUGUAAUUGACCGAACUUUUUUAUUCUUGACUAUUAAUACGAAAAUCUCCACCCCUUUACAUCA